UACAGAGGGCUCAAGCGUUGUUCGGAUUCAUUGGGCGUAAAGGGCGCGUAGGCGGCGCAACAAGUCACUUGUGAAAUCUCCGGGCUUAACCCGGAGCGGCCAAGUGAUACUGUCGUGCUAGAGUGCGGAAGGGGCUACUGGAAUUCUCGGUGUAGCGGUGAAAUGCGUAGAUAUCGAGAGGAACACCUGCGGCGAAGGCGGGUAGCUGGGCCGACACUGACGCUGAGGCGCGAAAGCCAGGGGAGCGAACGGG
rnacentral:rRNA from 1 species